AUGAAACUCCGGUUCCCGAACGAUCUCCGAAGUUAAGCAACAUCGAACCUGGUCAUUACCUAGAUGGGUGACCGUUUGGGAAUACCAGUUAC